GUUCUCUCUGUAGGGGAAUGAAGGAAUUGGUUUCACCAUGCUUGGAUUUUCCAAAAGGCCACCUUUUCUUCUCCUUUCAAUCUUUGGGCUGCCAAGUAUCGGAUAUCACAUGCAAGAGAUGGAUAAUCAGCUUCAUGUCAAAUUGUCAAUUAUUGGGUCUCUUAUAGAUGUGGAACUCCCGGAACAGUCAUUAAGGAACUACUUCACUAGCAAAAUCAUUCAGCUGCAGAAGAAGAUGGAGAUAUGGCUUGAGCUUGGAAUAUCACUUCACCAUAGAGAAACUGCUCUUCUGCCAAGGAACUAUAUAUAUAUGUAUAUAUAUGCAAGGUUGUUCUAUAACACUCUUUUGGAUUGAUGAGGAAGAGAACAAUCACUUCAUGGCCCCAAACCAACUUUACUUCAAUAGAAAGCCUUCUGAAGACAGCUAUAGGCACUUGAGAAACUGUUGAGGUUAGGAUGCAACCUGAGGUGUUCAUCUGGAUGCCUUAGAGGAGAACACAAGGCAAAAUAUAGGAUGUUUGCUUAUAAGCUACUCAAGAUAAAGGAAGCAUGAAUCUUGACAAAGAAGGGUGGAUCCCCCAUCCAAAUGGCCUGUUUAGUUUCCAGGGAAGUUAUUAACUAUCGUAGGUUCAUCAUACUCAUUGUUACUGUUCUUGAAUCAUCAGUAUAUCUGUCUCUGGAAUAUCUUUGCAAAAGGAUUAGUUCAUUGACAUGACACAUCAUUAGGUGCUGAUCACCUUGUUUUAACUGAUAAUUCUCAUCAGAGUAUGGCAUUACAGUGUCCUGAACUCCUGAUUGCCUUGUGUACUAAUUGUGGCGUUUCGUUUUCAUUUCCUUGUCAACUAGAUUAACAAAGCAUACCUUUUGAGGCAUAUAAUAAACUUUUGUAAGAUCCGUAUUUUGUCAGCCACCUUUUGUCUCCAAAACAAAGUUUUGAGACUCAGAUCAGUUUUGGCAUUUAUCUCAGCAUUAUUGGAAACAUAAGAUUUAUGCAAAGUCCAGGGUUCAUCAUUCUCUAAUACGAGGCAAUUUAUGUCUGAGCUUAUCUUACAUGCAGCAUUAGCUUUGCUGGGUACUCAAACUUUUUCAAAGUACAAAGAAAAAGGUUAUGUUGUUUCGGUCUUCAACAUUCUUGAAUCAAAUACCUUUGUCAGUGUAGAUUAUACUAAAAUUCUCUUGAUCUUACAUAAAUCUUCUUUUUUCUGAAUCUGAAUCUGAAUCCUACUACUGCUGUUAUUAUUUAUUUUUCCUGAGAAGGAAACUUUGUGGACUAAUAAACUAGACAUAGGUCGUCAACAAAAGAAAGGCAGAUGCUUUUGGAAAAAGAAACAGAUGGUGAUGACACUGUCAAACACUAAUCAAACUAAUAUAUCUUUUUUUCUUCUUUUAGGUUCAUCACUUCCACUGGAGUGUGUGAACUUUGCAGUUCAUGUGUAUGUAGUGCAUUCCAUCCUGUUCUAAAGUAGAAAGGCAAGGCAUUUCAAUCAACUACAUGAUGAAGACUCGUAGCUUUUGGGUCAUGGCUGACCAAGUGUAGUGCUCUCAUGAUGAGGACUUGCCAGAAUCCAGCCAGCGAAGGGGAUGAUGAUAUGGUUCCUUUGCAAUCACAACAAUAUCUCAUACAUGAGGCAGAACCAUAUGAAAUCGGCCCGGUUUCUAUUUCAUUUUCCCUGGAACCCGUGUUUUCGGAACCGCGAUUAGCUCUAACAUGAGGUUGUAAUAAAAAUUACACAAGGAAUUUUUUUUUUAUUUUCAUUUAUCCUAUU